AGAAUGUAGUCAAUGGGCCUUUACAAGCCUAUAAAACACUAUACAACUUUCAGCAACGGAUCUCUUGGCUCUCGCAUCGAUGAAGAACGCAGCGAAAUGCGAUAAGUAAUGUGAAUUGCAGAAUUCAGUGAAUCAUCGAAUCUUUGAACGCACCUUGCGCUCCUUGGUAUUCCGAGGAGCAUGCCUGUUUGAGUGUCAUUAAAUUCUCAACCUCACCGGUUUUCUGAACCGUUCUCCG
rnacentral:rRNA from 1 species